AACGAACGCUGGCGGCAUGCCUAACACAUGCAAGUCGAACGAAGCCUUCGGGCUUAGUGGCGCACGGGUGCGUAACGCGUGGGAAUCUGCCCCUUGCUUCGGAAUAACAGUUAGAAAUGACUGCUAAUACCGGAUGAAGUCUUCGGACCAAAGAUUUAUCGGCAAGGGAUGAGCCCGCGUAGGAUUAGGUAGUUGGUGGGGUAAAGGCCUACCAAGCCGACGAUCCUUAGCUGGUCUGAGAGGAUGAUCAGCCACACUGGGACUGAGACACGGCCCAGACUCCUACGGGAGGCAGCAGUGGGGAAUAUUGGACAAUGGACGCAAGUCUGAUGCAGCAAUGCCGCGUGAAUGAUGAAGGCCUUAGGGUUGUAAACCUCUUUUACCAGUGAUGAUAAUGACAGUACCUUAAGAAUAAGCACCGGCUAACUACGUG
rnacentral:rRNA from 1 species